AUUCUUAACAUAAAUGCGGGGUCAUAAAGCAUUAAUGCAAGUCAAAAUUUUCAGUGAAGAAGUUCCAGCAGUUCAACUUUAUAACAAUUAUAAAUAAACCUGUUAAAUUUUUCUGGACAAUGCCAGCAUUUGGAUUUUUUUAAAACAAGUAAAUUUCUUACUGACUG